AGGUGGUGCAUGGUUGUCGUCAGCUCGUGUCGUGAGAUGUUGGGUUAAGUCCCGCAACGAGCGCAACCCUUAACUUUAGUUGCCAGCAUUAAGUUGGGCACUCUAGAGUGACUGCCGGUGACAAACCGGAGGAAGGUGGGGAUGACGUCAAAUCAUCAUGCCCCUUAUGACCUGGGCUACACACGUUCUACAAUGGUAGGUACAACGGGAAGCGAAGCCGCGAGGUGGAGCCAAUCCUAAAAAGCCGAUCUCAGUUCGGAUUGCAGGCUGCAACUCGCCUGCAUGAAGUCGGAAUUGCUAGUAAUCGCGGAUCAGCAUGCCGCGGUGAAUAC
rnacentral:rRNA from 1 species